rnacentral:snoRNA from 1 species
AGUUCGUGGUGCGGGCAACAUUGUAGCAAGUCUUUGUACCUCUUCCAAGCAUCAUACAUGCUCUCGUCAUCGACUGCAAAAAAGAAGAUAUAUCAUUUCUCAAUCU